rnacentral:rRNA from 1 species
GAUGAACGCUGGCGGCGUGCCUAAUACAUGCAAGUCGAGCGAACGGACGAGAAGCUUGCUUCUCUGAUGUUAGCGGCGGACGGGUGAGUAACACGUGGAUAACCUACCUAUAAGACUGGGAUAACUUCGGGAAACCGGAGCUAAUACCGGAUAAUAUUUUGAACCGCAUGGUUCAAAAGUGAAAGACGGUCUUGCUGUCACUUAUAGAUGGAUCCGCGCUGCAUUAGCUAGUUGGUAAGGUAACGGCUUACCAAGGCAACGAUGCAUAGCCGACCUGAGAGGGUGAUCGGCCACACUGGAACUGAGACACGGUCCAGACUCCUACGGGAGGCAGCAGUAGGGAAUCUUCCGCAAUGGGCGAAAGCCUGACGGAGCAACGCCGCGUGAGUGAUGAAGGUCUUCGGAUCGUAAAACUCUGUUAUUAGGGAAGAACAUAUGUGUAAGUAACUGUGCACAUCUUGACGGUACCUAAUCAGAAAGCCACGGCUAACUACGUGCCAGCAGCCGCGGUAAUACGUAGGUGGCAAGCGUUAUCCGGAAUUAUUGGGCGUAAAGCGCGCGUAGGCGGUUUUUUAAGUCUGAUGUGAAAGCCCACGGCUCAACCGUGGAGGGUCAUUGGAAACUGGAAAACUUGAGUGCAGAAGAGGAAAGUGGAAUUCCAUGUGUAGCGGUGAAAUGCGCAGAGAUAUGGAGGAACACCAGUGGCGAAGGCGACUUUCUGGUCUGUAACUGACGCUGAUGUGCGAAAGCGUGGGGAUCAAACAGGAUUAGAUACCCUGGUAGUCCACGUCGUAAACGAUGAGUGCUAAGUGUUAGGGGGUUUCCGCCCCUUAGUGCUGCAGCUAACGCAUUAAGCACUCCGCCUGGGGAGUACGACCGCAAGGUUGAAACUCAAAGGAAUUGACGGGGACCCGCACAAGCGGUGGAGCAUGUGGUUUAAUUCGAAGCAACGCGAAGAACCUUACCAAAUCUUGACAUCCUUUGACAACUCUAGAGAUAGAGCCUUCCCCUUCGGGGGACAAAGUGACAGGUGGUGCAUGGUUGUCGUCAGCUCGUGUCGUGAGAUGUUGGGUUAAGUCCCGCAACGAGCGCAACCCUUAAGCUUAGUUGCCAUCAUUAAGUUGGGCACUCUAAGUUGACUGCCGGUGACAAACCGGAGGAAGGUGGGGAUGACGUCAAAUCAUCAUGCCCCUUAUGAUUUGGGCUACACACGUGCUACAAUGGACAAUACAAAGGGCAGCGAAACCGCGAGGUCAAGCAAAUCCCAUAAAGUUGUUCUCAGUUCGGAUUGUAGUCUGCAACUCGACUACAUGAAGCUGGAAUCGCUAGUAAUCGUAGAUCAGCAUGCUACGGUGAAUACGUUCCCGGGUCU